AAGAAGUUAGUUAAAUUACAAUAACAUUAGUAUGUCAUACUAAAAUUAUUAAAUAUUAAUACAUCUUU
rnacentral:tRNA from 1 species